rnacentral:rRNA from 1 species
UACGAAGGGGGCUAGCGUUGUUCGGAAUUACUGGGCGUAAAGGGCGCGUAGGCGGUCCCUCAAGUCAGGCGUGAAAGCCCCGGGCUCAACCUGGGAACCGCGCUUGAGACUGGUGGGCUAGAGUUCGGGAGAGGAUGGUGGAAUUCCCAGUGUAGAGGUGAAAUUCGUAGAUAUUGGGAAGAACACCGAUGGCGAAGGCAGCCAUCUGGACCGACACUGACGCUGAGGCGCGAAAGCGUGGGGAGCAAACAGG